ACUUAAUAUCAUGUUUAUCUGUUUAUUCAGAUUUCAUUUGCUUGCCUUUUUCAGUUCAUCUUGUUCAUUUGAACUGACCGAAUGGAUCGAAGUUGUUUGUCGAAGCCUGCGGAUAUGAUCCGGCGGCGGCACCAGUAGCAUCUCGAUUGUAUCCACCCGCAAAGGAAUUGGCAGCGGUGGCGGGAUCCACAAAACG